AUCAACUUUCGAUGGUAGGAUAGAGGCCUACCAUGGUGGUAACGGGUAACGGGGUGUUAGGGCACGACACCGGAGAGGGAGCCUGAGAAACGGCUACCACAUCCAAGGAUGGCAGCAGGCGCGCAAAUUACCCAAUCCCGACACGGGGAGGUAGUGACAAUAAAUAACAAUACGGGGUUCUUUCGGAUUUCGUAAUUGGAAUGAGUACAAUUUAAAUCUCUUAACGAGGAACAAUUGGAGGGCAAGUCUGGUGCCAGCAGCCGCGGUAAUUCCAGCUCCAAUAGCGUAUAUUAAAGUUGUUGCAGUUAAAAAGCUCGUAGUUGAAUUUCGGGGUCGGUAGGUUGGUCAUGCCAUCGGUAUGCACUGGUCUCACCGAUUCCUCCCUCUUGUAGAAGCGUAAUGCCAUUAAUUUGGUGUUGCGGGGAAACAGGACUGUUACUUUGAAAAAAUUAGAGUGUUUAAAGCAGGCUCACGCUUGAAUACAUUAGCAUGGAAUAAUGAAAUAGGACGUUUGAUUCUAUUUUGUUGGUUUCUAGGAUCGACGUAAUGAUUAAUAGGGAUAGUUGGGGGCAUUAGUAUUCAAUUGUCAGAGGUGAAAUUCUUGGAUUUAUUGAAGACUAACUACUGCGAAAGCAUUUGCCAAGGAUGUUUUCAUUAAUCAAGAACGAAAGUUAGGGGAUCGAAGACUAUCAGAUACCGUCGUAGUCUUAACCAUAAACUAUGCCGACUAGGGAUCGGAUGAUGUUAAUUUUUUAAUGACUCAUUCGGCGCCUUACGGGAAACCAAAGUGUUUGGGUUC
rnacentral:rRNA from 1 species